GUCGCCGCCAAUAGGAGCGCAGCGAUGGCACUCGCGAGGCUUCGUUCUCCAUGGCAACCGUCAGCCGCUGAGUUCGGCCGUCGUCCGAGCGCCGGCGAAGGGGCCGCCAUGGCAGAGCUAGGCCUUAAUGAGCACCACCAGAAUGAAGUGAUCAACUACAUGCGCUUUGCUCGUUUCAAGCGUGGCCUGUGUCUCAAAACAGUGGAUUCUUGUUUUCAGGACCUUAAGGAAAGCAGACUUGUUGAGGAGACCUUCACAGUUGAUGAGGUGAUAGACAUGUUGGAUGGACUGCGGACUGUUGUACACAGUGAAGUGGAGUCAGAGCUCAUAAAUACAACUUACACCAAUGUUUUACUUCUGCGGCAGCUCUUUUCACAGGCUGAGAAAUGGUACCUUAAGUUACAAACAGACGUCUCUGAUUUGGAGAAUCGGGAAUUGUUGGAACAGGUUGCUGAGUUUGAAAAGUCAGAGUUUACAUCUUCGAACAAGAAGCCCAGUGCAGAUCUCAUUAAACCAAAACUGGCUCCGUUAAAUGAAGGUGGGUCAGAGCUGCUAAACAAGACAGUUGCUUGUCUCCAAGAAGAAAAUGAAAAGUUGAAGACCAGACUCAAGACCAUAGAAACACAGGCUACAGCUGCACUAGAUGAAAAGUCCAAACUAGAGAAGUCACUGAAGGAUUUACAGAUGAUCCAAGGAGAUCAAAAGACUAAUGCAAACCAGGAUAUCACUGAACUGGAGAAUAAAGUGGCAGCUUUGAAGUGCCAGUUUGAGAAGACUUUGAAUGACUCUACUGCAAACCAAAAAUUCUUGGAAGAGAACUUGGUGACAACAAAACAUGACUUGCUUAAGGUUCAGGAUCAGCUAUCCACAGCUGAAAAGGAAUUAGAGAAGAAAUUUCAGCAAACAGCUGCCUAUCGCAACAUGAAAGAGAUUCUCACUAAGAAGAACGAACAGAUAAAGGAUCUACGUAAAAAACUUUCCAAAUAUGAGCCAGAGGACUAAAACACCAAGAACAUCUGAUCUAUCAGAAACUGCCAUAGAAAGAAAAUGUAGACCGGCAAAGCUGUUAAAAUUGCUCAAGCAGUGAUGCCCCAUUCAAAUCUGCCAUACAUUUGCAGUCUGUAAGUUGUUUUGUUGUCCUUUUUCCCCCACUGUUUAAGCAAGAUUGGCAAAGUCCUGUGUCAGUAGCAUAAUAUCAUUGCUGUAGCACGAUAGUAGGGCUUUAUGGGGUGACGUGCUCCUCAUGCAGUGUCAGUUAAAUUCAUGAUGGGUAUUAUUUUGCCCCUUGUACAGUCACUAAAAAGUUCUUAAUAGGGAUGUACUGAAGAGCUUUCUGGCCUGUGUUUGCUCAAAGCAAUUAUGUUGACACCAAAAGGAGUACUUGUCUGGGUGAAUAAUGUGUGUUUUUCUUUGUAACAAAACUCAUUUUAAUGAGAUCAGUUACUAUUUCUAAAAUGGCAGGUAAAGGGUGAAGAAAGGCGGAGAAUCUCAUGACUUCUAGUGUUUUUUCUCUUUUCUGAUAAAUCUUUUGGCUGUUAACUUAGCUAGAAUAUUGUCUCUGUGAUAGGCCUUCAUUAUCUGUGUAGAGACCAUUUCAACAAGUAAGUACGUUCUCAACUUCAGAAUAUCGAUAGGUCUCAAUGAAGUAAGUUGACUGUAGGCAAGCGUGGUUACAGACCUUGUUAUCUGCUGAAAUGAGUAAGGCAAAUCUUGUAGAGAACUGUGCAGUGCAAAAUUGAAACACUGACUUUGAUUACCUGUCUUGCAGAUUGCCAGUUUAGUGAGUAUGAGAUCAGUGUGAUGCUGUCCUCAGUUUGUGUUGCACAAUGCCUAAGGUAAAGAUGUUGCAUGGAGCUCUUGAGGAAAAAUACAUCAUCUGUCAGAGAUGAUGUACCUGUCAAAGAAGACCCCGAGCCUUAUACAGUAACAAUUCUCUUUUUGUUGAGAUAGGUACAAUAUUUUGAAGAUGGAAUUGACAUCUGAACCUUUCCUGAUUGCAUCUGAUUUUUCUAAAACUACACUUCUUUCCCUGAAGCGUAAAUUCUAAUACUGUUUUUAUCAGCCUUUGUUUUUCAGAAGUUCAUUAUACUGCUCAAACAGACAUCAUCCAUUUUUUCCACUUCAGCUGUUAAUUCCCUAGUUAUGCCUGAAAGGAAUGUUUAAAAAGAACAUUUCUCUAUAACUGGCUGAUCUGCAGGAAUCACAUCUCUUUCAAGCUGGGUAGCGUUUUGGGGUUUUUUUGCUUGCAAACUGCAGCAUGUUUUCUACACGAAUGAAAUCUAGGCAGCUGACCUUGGCUAGUAUUGAUCCUGACAGCUAAGGACCAACCCUAUGCUGCAACUGUGACUUGAAUUCAGCAGUUGGUCAUUAUUGUGGUUUAACCCCGUGGUAACUAAAACAAUCAUGCAGCCAUUCACUCACUCCCCGCCCCUCAGUGGGAUGGGGAGAGAAUCGAAGAAAAGUAAAACUCAGGACUUGAUAUAAAAACAGUUUGAUAGAACAGAAAAGAAA